ACAACAGACGGAAACGACUGCUAAUACCCAAUAGACUCCGGUUUCGCAUGAAACCGACAGGAAAGGUGGCCUCUCGAAGAAGCUACCGCCGCAGGAGGGGUUUGCGUUUGAUUAGUUAGUUGGUGGGGUAACGGCCUACCAAGACGAUGAUCAAUAGCCGGUCUGAGAGGAUGAACGGCCACACUGGAACUGAGACACGGUCCAG
rnacentral:rRNA from 1 species